rnacentral:misc_RNA from 1 species
UGAGUUCGCGGGAGAGUAGGUUAUUGCCAGGGUUUUUAUUUUGUAAUUUAAACCUUAAAUUUAUUUUUUAUAUUUUUUUAAUGUUCAUGUUUUUGAAUGUUUUAUUCAAAUAAUGUAAAAAAUAAAAUAGAUAUUGACAUGGAUUGAACAAAAGAUAUAUAUUAUUUUAUGUUGCAUAAACAAAUUGGCAAAAUAGAGAUGGAAGAUAAAAAUAUGGUCAAAGUAAUAAGAGUCUAUGGUGAAUGCCUAGGAGCUUUAAGGCGAAGAAGGUCGUGGUAAGCUGCGAAAAGCUUGGGGGAGAAGCAAACAUUUAUUGAUACCCAAGAUUACCGAAUGGAGUAAC